UACGUAGGGUGCAAGCGUUGUCCGGAAUUAUUGGGCGUAAAGAGCGUGUAGGCGGCCCGAUUAGUCUGCUGUGAAAGUCCAGGGCUCAACCCUGGAAUGCCGGUGGAUACUGUCGGGCUAGGGUCCGGAAGGGGCGAGUGGAAUUCCUGGUGUAGCGGUGAAAUGCGCAGAUAUCGUAAGGAAGACCAGUGGCGAAGGCGGGUCUCUGGACAGUUCCUGACGCUGAGGCACGAAGGCCAGGGGAGCAAACGGG
rnacentral:rRNA from 1 species